rnacentral:rRNA from 1 species
UGCAACUCGACUGCAUGAAGCUGGAAUCGCUAGUAAUCGCGAAUCAGCAUGUCGCGGUGAAUACGUUCCCGGGUCUUGUACACACCGCCCGCCACACCAUGGGAGUCGGAAAUGCCCGAAGCCAGUGACCCAACCUUUAAGGAGGGAGCUGUCGAAGGCAGGUCUGGUAACUGGGGUGAAGUCGUAACAAGGUACC